UAAAACGACACCGGCUUCAUGUCGAAAUCAUUAACUUGUCAGUUUGGUAAUUUCCUCAGUGACAUCUGAUUCCAACCAAUGAGGAGGAGUGGAGGAAAUUGUGUGAAGCCUUCUACAAGUCUGCAGAUAGUGUAUGGAACAACAACUUAUGUUUGUACACAGGGAAAUAUCUUAAUUAAUUCUCUCUUUUGCUGUCCGGUAUACUGUCCAACAUUGAAAGUAUUUCGAUGAAUCCGCUGCUCCAGCAUGUUGUCGGACGAUAAUUAAACACCUCGUUAACAACUUGUAUUUACCGUUACAUAUCAUUAUUUCAGGUAAUUCAAAAGUUUGUUCUGCGAAAAUGUCUUCUGGUUGCACGAAUUAUGUGGUCAGUGAAACCACGGAGAUCCUUAUUGAUUUAGGGCCAAUGAAAGACACAGUGCACCAGGUUUCCGGCCAGCCUGGCUGUUCACUGCUAACAUCUAUGUAUGCACAGAAAAUAUCACCAAAAAUCGUACAGGUUUGCUUUAUUUGUGAUAAGAUGUUUAUUAACCGUGUUAGUUUGACCAAGCAUUUAACCAAGCACAAUAUACUAGUCAGGGGUGCCACCUCCAGUGUAAACGAAGGAGGCAGUAAUGCCACAAAUAGAGAUCUAGAGAAGUUAAAUCCUCCUGGGAAAAUUAGCUGCGAAUAUUGUCGGGGAUUGUUUGAUAACCAAGACGAUUUGAUGAAACAUGAAAACACUCAUUAUCUGUUUGAAGGAUCAGUCAUGGAGAAGCACUGCUGUGGUUAUUGCGGAGUAAAGUUCAGUCGGCGGAGGGACCUCUUUCGCCAUAUCCGGUGCUGCGGAACGUUAUCGGCUGUGGACAAUUGUAAACUCGCGACGGAAAUCAACAUGAAACCAAACAGUAAUAAACAGUCGGAUGAAAGUUCUCAGGCGUCAACUCAGGUGGAAUAUUUCUGCCUGAAUUGCAAGCAGAAGCGUUCUUUCAAAAUCCUUUCCCUGGACCGUGCCAGCAAGCUCUUAAAACUGAACUGUCAAACCUGCGGGAAACCUCUACACUUAACGUAUUUUGCUUCCGAAUCUUCUAAGGCCAAAGAUCCUCAAAAGACUGUCGACUGCGACACAACAGCUGAACCGUGUCAAGACAAUGGACUGUCAACGUCAACACCACAAUCCCCGUUACUUAUUGACGACAACGACCCAGUCGCUGAUGACGAAGAACCAUGUGACGAAACUCCAGUUAACAAUGACGAAGAACCACGUGACCAAACAUCAGUUAACAACGACGAAGAACCACGUGACCAAACUCCAGUUAACGAUGACGAAGAACCACGUGACCAAACUCCAGUUAACGACGACGAAGAACCACGUGACCAAACUCCAGUUACGAAUGAUAAAAAACCACGUGACAAAACUCCAGGUAACAAUGAUAGAAAAGCAGUAAUAAAAACCAUAUUGAAGCUUUCCAGAAACUUCCCUCAAGUGAUCAAAAUGUUAAAUAAAAAUUCAAAGUUCAAAUGUCACAUUUGCUACAAAAAAUUUACCUCAUCGGACAUCCUCAGUAACCACUUCAAUUCAGCCCAUGCUGGAGUAAGAAGGCAGAAAAGUAGCUGCCCUUAUUGUUCCAAGUCUUACAUCACAGCAAAACUUUACCUGCGCCACCUUCAGAGUCACGUUCGAUUAAAGAAGAUUUCGUGCCACUAUCAGUUGUUAUCGAAAUCUACGGAAGCAUUCUAUGACAUUUUCGAUUACCAUCACAAUGGAAAACGGCACACUUGUCUCCAUUGUUCUCAAAGUUUUUCCAAUUCCGUAGAACUUUUAAAUCACCACAAAGAAUCUCAUCCUAAUAAUUCUGUUCACGUCUGCCAAGUGUGUUCCUGUCAGUUUGUUUCUGACAACUCUUUAAAGCAACAUCGUAAGAGGCACAGUGUCAAGAACUUCUACAAAUGUGACUUUUGCUUCAGAACAUUCACUAAAAUGUCCGUUUUCCUGCAACACAUUUUACAACAUGCAAAGAUAAGUUUUUAAAUUAAUUUACUCCUCUGUUAACAUCAACUUAAUGCAGUGUAUGUUUACUAUAUUUAUAUAUCUACACUUUAUAUAGUUGUGUGUGUGUGUAUAUAUACACACACAUGCACACUUUAUUUAUAUAUAUAUAUAUAGUAAACAUUUACAUGUUCAUUGUAUAGGUUCAAAUCCAGCUAGGAUCUUGUACAUAUCCAGGAAUAAAUGGCACCUGAUGAUAAUGGUUGUAGUUUUAACCAAUGGAAACAGUAUAUUGUGUAUUGUGUGUGUGUGUGUGUGU
rnacentral:misc_RNA from 1 species